UGGCCUUGACAUACUAAGAACUUUCCAGAGAUGGAUUGGUGCCUUCGGGAACUUAGAUACAGGUGCUGCAUGGCUGUCGUCAGCUCGUGUCGUGAGAUGUUGGGUUAAGUCCGCAACGAGCGCAACCCUUUUCCUUAUUUGCCAGCGGGUCAUGCCGGGAACUUUAAGGAUACUGCCAGUGACAAACUGGAGGAAGGCGGGGACGACGUCAAGUCAUCAUGGCCCUUACGGCCAGGGCUACACACGUGCUACAAUGGUCGGUACAAAGGGUUGCUACCUCGCGAGAGGAUGCUAAUCUCAAAAAGCCGAUCGUAGUCCGGAUCGCAGUCUGCAACUCGACUGCGUGAAGUCGGAAUCGCUAGUAAUCGCGGAUCAGAAUGCCGCGGUGAAUACGUUCCCGGGCCUUGUACACACCGCCCGUCACACCAUGGGAGUUUGUUGCACCAGAAGUAGGUAGUCUAACCGCAAGGAGGACGCUUACCACGGUGUGGCCGACGACUGGGGUGAAGUCGUAACAAGGUAGGCGUAGAUGA
rnacentral:rRNA from 1 species